ACUUGGUCUUCUUUGACCAAGUGAGGAAAAAUCAAGAAAAGAAAAGAAACAUCAAGAAAAAGGGAGAGAAUUCUAGAAAAGAAAGAAAUGGGGCAUGUGACCAUAAUUGGGGGACUAAAUUGCAAAUAUGGAUAAGUGAUGGAAGACCUAUAUAUAUAUAUACAUAAGAGGUCUUCAUAAUUAAAUUAGAGAGAAAGAAAGAACAACAAAAAAAAAAAAAAAGGGAAAGAAAGAGAGAGGGUUCGGCCAAGGUAUGGCCAAGCAUGGCCAAGGGAGAUUUGAUCAAGAAAAAUUAUUUCUUUCAAGCUUUUAUACUAAGUGGAAGGUUCUCUACAACGUGGAGUAUUCGUUGGAACAAGUGAAUCAUUCGUUUCACAAAAAUGAGGUUCUAGCCGGGAAAAGGAACUAGUGCUAAGAUUAACAAGUUGGACGAAUAAGCGUAGCUAGUAAGGCGCGGCGCAGGUACACCCAGAUGAGCUGAGGCCCUUAUAGAAGAUGUUCCAGCGAAGUUGGCGAGCUCCAGUUAGCCCGGGAGUGUAGCCGAGUCAGUGUAUAUGUGCCAUGGUUUCCGAUUGCAGUUAGAGACUUUGCAGACAGAGUCGUGGGUAUAGAGCGUCAACUUUGUAGACGGCUUCGCCUGUCAACAUGUUAUUACGUUUCAUGUCACGCGUUCCAUAUGAUGAU